rnacentral:lncRNA from 1 species
CUAAGAAGCAAAGAGGCCUCCUAUACAGCAAGAUGAGAACUGCACACAUAGGAAGCUUAGCUGGUUGAGAAAAAUUAGUAAAAGGUUACUCUGUCAUUUAGAUGUAUAUUCAUUUCUCAUCUGAAUUAAGCAUAUACUACAUUUUCUAUAUGAAUAAAAACAUGCUGCCAAUGAACAAUGACCUAUGCAGGAGAAGGAAACCCAAUGUAAAUUCCUUUUAACACUAGAGCAGGAGAGUAAAACUGUCUCUUUAUUAUUAAGGUUAAUCUGAUUAGAUUGGAGAGUUUUUUGGCAUUUUUCUGCCUUUGGAGUUGUUUGAAGGAGGCUUCAGAGGAAAAGCAACAAUUUCCAGUGAACCCAAAUACAGCAGCUGCCCCUAUAAAAAUUCAACACGAGAGGACUUACACCCAACAUCCUCCCCAACUCUGAAAAGUGGUCCAGAGAAGACACCUUUCAGGCUUUUCACCCAGUUCUCAACAACCUCCUUUCUCUGGAAAAUGCCCCUUGCCAAACUAGACAUUCCAGGCAUAUUUAUACUCUGCGACCUACCCUCCUGGCUAUGGUGACCUAUGUUGGACCAGAGUUAGAAAUUUGGAAUUGGGGCUAAGAAUGUCCAGUUUCAAUCUGGGCUGGUCCCGUAAGCAGGGAAAGCACAGGGUCGUUGCAGACAGCAACGUUCUCUACCAAGUGGACAGGAGAAAGAGUAUGAGAGUGUGUGGAAAAAAGCAGCAGGAAGCAGCUGCAGGGAUAAGAGAGGGACUUUCUGGAUUCCUUCACCCAGACCCCCUCCGCUCCCUUCCUCCAACACCAUCCCUUCUGGCCUGGACUCCUGUCCACUGUAAAUGAAUUCCUGGACAACCUCACACUCUUAGACCUCUGCUUCCAUCUGACUGAUCCUCCUCAACUUGACUGAAAGCUGGAUUGGAAGAGCAUCAAUUUCAGUGCUGCAUCAUGUUUAUCUCCCCAGGUCAUAAAUGCACAUACACAUUGCUUCCCUGGCACUCAGGGUGUACUCAACACAUAUUUAUUGGAUGACUAAUGAUAUCACUGUCCUUGAAGGCCUCUCAGUGGAGAAAGCUCAUCCACUUGCUUCCCACACACUACGAAGACAGGUGGACAUUCUUCCUGCUUCCUCCUGCUGCUUCUAGACACCACUCCUCCUCCCUUAAAAACAAAAACAAAACACCGAAAAGCCAACAACAGCUAUUCUUCUCUGAGGCUUAUGACAUCACAGUCAUCCACCCAGCUCAACUGCAUUCUUCAAACAAGUUUGCUUCUCCGUGUUACACACAGUCCAUUUUGGGGUAACACUUGGGAAUGGCCUGGUGAGAACUGGUAUGUCUCAGGGUAGCUACAUGGUUGAGACUACAUAUGCUAGAUAAAGAGGACAGUUCAGUCAAUUCUGGUCAGUUCCGCUCAUGCAAGCAGCUAAACUACAUAAGUUGGCUUUGAGAAAAAGCUCAUCUCCCUCGACAAUAAGUGCUUUGACCUGGUAGAGCUCCUCACUAAAACUGAACUGAGUGGACAUUACAGCUUUUGGUAUUUCUCUAAGACAAUUUCUUUGGCACAAUGAAUAAUACCCUAGAUUCUUUACAUUUCAUCAGCACCAAGACCUAAAACACCAUUCAUUUGUUCUACAUUGUACAGAGCCAGGAUAAGGAAGAUGUCCCAGGAAUGACCAUAGCGGUUGGCAAGAUGAUGCAGUUUCCCUUUAUAAGGUCCUCAUGACCUGUAUGUGGUUCAAUUAUCUCUGAGCAAUUAAAUCCUAAUGGGGAAAAGUACUGAAAAGAAAAUUGCAAUUAUACACAUGUGUAGCUGCCUGCACCACACUUCAAACCCCUUUUAUUUCUUGGUCUCUGUGUAACACGAGAGCUAUGUAGAAAACAAUUAGGACCAGAGAGCUUCUUCCUACAUAAUCAGAGAGCACAUCACUAGUGUGAUUCCCAGCCUGACACAGAAGCUGUGGGGGUAAAAGCCAUAUGUCCAACCUAGCAGGCAAGGUAUAAUUUCACAUGCUUUCUCAGGACCCUAAUGAAACUCAAAAAAACAGAGUUGAAUUGUUUGGCACUGAAAAAUCAGAUUCCUUGGUGCCCAACUGCUGCUCACUGCUUCCUAAGCAAGGAGAAUCAUGCAGAUGGGUAAAAGAAGACAUAGGAGGCUAUGGUAAAAGUGACAAUUUGCAUACAGCCAAGCAAUACCCUUGACCAAAUCCAGAUACCUCCAAGGAAGCUCCAAUAAUAAGUAGGUACACAUACAUUUCUGCAGAGUCACACCCACUGGCAUGUUGGGUGCACAGAACAGUAGUAAUGACUGAUUCUAAGAAUCAGCCCAGGAGGGUCUGGCCAUAAGGUACUCAUAACAGAGUAACAUGUACCACUACGCGCGCGCGCGCACACACACACACACACACACACACACACACACACACACAGUCCUUGCCUCCUGCCUACCUGAAGCAGCUCCUGCAUAUAGUACAAAAAAGUCCUGGAUGGUCACAGUUAGGUGGGAUAACAGUGAUGUUUUACAUCCUCUUACUCAUUGGUCUUGGUUGUUGCUUAAACUGUCAGGCUCCAAACUUAUAAUCAAAUGAUAAAAUUAUCCGAAGUCAUCAUGUACAUCUUACUUUCCAUUUAAAUAUUAUAUGAAUUAUGUGCCAUUGUAUAGCUCUAAAGCAUGCGAUUGGCUCAUAAAAUCUUUAAUGUUCCAAUUGUCCAUCUUAGGAAAUAUCAAUCAAAAUAGAUACAAUAUGCUGCAUGAGAUUCCUUUUCCAAUUCAGGUCCUCACCAAGACAUUCAACCAAGCAUGUGAGCAUAUCUAAAUUCAAUGUUCAUGGCCAUGAACAAUGUCUGAAGC